rnacentral:rRNA from 1 species
GGUGAACGCUGGCGGCGUGCCUAAUACAUGCAAGUCGAGCGCCCUGCACAGUGCGCUUCUUAACUACGAGACAGGACACCGAAAUUUGCUCCUAAAGCAAAUUUGGUAUCACUAUCGAAGGGAUGAAAGCCUGGUAAAACAGGCUAAAACAUGAAGAAGCGUAGCGUGCAGGGAGCGGCGAACGGCUGAGUAACACGUUGGAACCUGCCCCAAAGUAAGGGAUAGCUCCGGGAAACCGGGAUUAAUACCUUAUGUGCUCUAUGGAGUAAAGAUUUAUCGCUUUGGGAGGUCCCGNGGCUGAUUAGCUAGUUGGUAGGGUAAUGGCCUACAAGGCAAUGAUCAGUAGCUGGUCUGAGA